AAGAUUUUGCUUUUUAGUAUUGUUACCAGCAGAUUGUUGUUAGUUGUGCUUUACUAGCAAGCUAUUCUCUAUUUUGCAGACAUCAACUUGUUCCCGAGGAAGAAUUAAGUUCAUUAUAUGAUUUGCUAAUUGAUGAUCCACCAGAUAUCAGGCGUGCCAUCGGAGCACUAGUGUAUGAUAAUCUGAUUGCCCAGCGAUUGAACAGUUCACAAUCUAGUUCAGGUUUUUAUCACCCUGUUCUGCAUCAUGUGCUUUCUAUGUGCUUGAUUAAUACAAUUGUAUUG
rnacentral:lncRNA from 1 species